UACGGAGGAUCCAAGCGUUAUCCGGAAUUACUGGGCGUAAAGAGUUGCGUAGGUGGCUUAACAAGUCCCGAUUUAAAUACAACGGCUCAACCGUUGUCUGUAUCGGGAAACUGUAAAGCUAGAGUGUUGGAGAGGUAGCUGGAAUUUCUAGUGUAGGAGUGAAAUCCGUAGAUAUUAGAAGGAACACCGAUGGCGUAGGCAGGCUACUGGCCAACAACUGACACUGAGGCACGAAAGCGUGGGGAGCGAACGGG
rnacentral:rRNA from 1 species